UCACUAUAGCUAUUAUUUGUUUGUUAUGUUAGUUACUCAUAGUAGCCGGUUUGCAAACCGUGAAGAAACUGAUCCUAGGUGUAGAAAUAAAUUUAUACUGUUUUUUUUUAUUAUUAUUUUGUUUACCCAAUAUUCCACUGGUAAUUGGAGGGGCAAUAGUGUAAAUUUACAUUAUUUUGGGAAUGUAUUUUUUGAGCUGGGAUGUGUAUUCAGAAUCAGUGACAUGUGUAUUCAGAAUGAGAGUAGUUAUAAUUUGAAAUUUGUAUUUACGUUCUUACUAAAUUUGUUAACGACAAUAAUGUGAGGAGAUGAUGAUCGGUGUCACUAGAACAAUUUUGAUAUUAACUUACAGUAAUUAAUUUUUAUUUUCUUAAUUUCUCUCAUCUUCCAAUUGAUUUCUGAAACUUCCAAUUGAUUUCCUAAAAUUAAUGGCAGCCCUAGGGAGAUGAAAAUGCUUAUCAAUGAUUUUGUUCUUCGGCGAUCAGUGGGGCUUUUGAGCAAUUUUGUUCUCCGACGAUUAGUGGGACAUUUUGGAGAGUUCAUUUUCUGAUAUUAUUUUCAGCAAAUACUAAUCCUAAACAUGAACACAUCUUCAUAUUCCAUUUUCCUUCUCUCUCUACGCUCUAAGCUCUACCAUGAUGAUCUUUCUCUCUCUCUUGCGAUCUCAGCGAAGAAGUCGCCGCUGGCGCCAUUUCCCGUCGAGUCCAGGAAGGCAAUGUUGCCAAGCAGAGGGAACAUCUAAUUCUUCUCCUUGCCAAUAUUCACAUUCGGAAAGCUAAUAAGCAGUCUGUGUUGAAGUGAGAAGAUGUUGCUGUGGAUUAGUUAAUGAGGAAGUUCUUCAAAAAUUGUACAAACUGGUGCAAAUUCUUGCCAAUAAAAAGCAACAUUCGACUGCCUUAUGUAAAAGAAGAGGCUCAACAAUAUAAACUUUUGUACAUUGGGCUUUACAUUCUUAUUUAGGGAGAGGCUGCAAACUUGCGGUUCAUGCCAGAGUGUUAUGUUAUAUUUUUUAAUAUAUGAUUGUUAUUUGAUGAUUUUUGUUUGUUUUAGGAUAGCUUCUAAAUUGCAUGGUAUGUUUACUGGAGUUAUUAAUCCCAUAAAAUGGGAGAAAGUCAUGCCAACAUAUGGUGGAGGACCUGAGUCUUUCCUUAACAAUGUAUUUACCCCUAUAUACACUGUUAUAGAAGAGGAAGCCAUGAAAAGUAAAAAUGGGACAACUGACCAUUCAAUUUGGAGAAACUAUGACGAUCUCAAUGAGUAUUUUUGGUGUCCUGAUUGUUUCCAAAUAGGAUGACCCAUGCGUCUGGACCACAAUUUCUUCUGUACUAAAUUACCCAAAGAUAAGGAGGGUUCAGAAUCAAGUAAAGCUAAAUAAAAGCUAAAGAGAGAAGAGGAAUAAGACAAAGAAGAGGACAAGAAUGAGGAUGAGGACGAAGAAGUUGGGGUUUUGAGUUUGAGUGAGAAGCUUCACUCUGUGACCUCACAGUUUGAUCAGCUGAGAGCCAUAUGCUUCCAAGAAGCCAUUAGCAGAGCAACACCAAGAAGAAAAUUUAAGGCUAUUACCAAACCUUUGAAGGGGGGGAAGAAGAAAUUGCUUAAUUGUAGAUGAAGUAAAAAAUCUUGUUGUGUGUUGAACAUUUGCUUAAUUAAGAAAUGAUGCCAAUCAUUUGUUCGAGUAGUUCCCCUACUAGAGUCGGUGUUGGCGGCAAUGAUGGCAACCAGUUAAUGAGACCAUUUACUUCUCCCCAACACUUUAUUGGUGAAGGCAUGGUUUUCACAUAAGUAAAUGAUUCAAUCAAGCCAAGGAAGCAUAUGUUGUAAAACCAAGUUCAAAUUUUUUUUGUUAGCUCAGUUUGGUAAAUGUAUAAUAUUGAAGAAUUUAAGUUGAGUUUGUAAUUAACAAAAUUCAUUAGGGAUAGGAUAUAUGGAACUUGUUUGUUAGCACUCUUGAUGAAGAGGAUAUUGGGAACUUCACUGAAGCUAUGGAGCAUAUCAUGACACCUGAGGCGCAAAGUAAUUGAGAAGGAAAACACAUAUGGCCUCAACUUCACUGCCAAUACACGUUUUGCGGGUAAGGAGCAGUUGGAAUGCUGAAUGAAGUGGAGUAAACAGCCUUGACUAAAUUACACAUUAAACACGAAAUUACACAUUUUUAGCUAAGUUUGAAUGGAGUAAACAGCCUUGACUAAGCCCUCAACGUAUUCAAAACUGCUGACUGACCUUAUAGCA